GUAGAGGUAGCACAGUUGGUAAAAGGUUUGUUUAGCAUGCGAGAGGUCACGGGUUCGAUCCCCCAUGUCUCCA